UGUUCUACCAGAGGUGCGGUUU
rnacentral:misc_RNA from 1 species